ACGCGGAGAACUGAAACAUCUAAGUACCCGGAGGAAAAGAAAUCAACCGAGAUUCCGAUAGUAGCGGCGAGCGAAAUCGGAACAGCCCUUAAGCUUAUUAUGUGUUAAUGGAAGGCUCUGGAAAGUGCCACGAUACAGGGUGAUAGUCCCGUACAUGAAAAGACAUUUUAAGUGAAAUCGAGUAGGUCGGAGCACGUGAAACUUUGACUGAAUAUAGGUGGACCAUCAUCUAAGGCUAAAUACUCCCAACUGACCGAUAGUGAACCAGUACCGUGAGGGAAAGGCGAAAAGAACCCCGGUGAGGGGAGUGAAAUAGAUCCUGAAACCGCGUACGUACAAGCAGUAGGAGCCUCUUUUAUGGGGUGACUGCGUACCUUUUGUAUAAUGGGUCAGCGAGUUAUUGUUAGUAGCAAGGUUAACCGUUUAGGGGAGCCGUAGG
rnacentral:rRNA from 1 species